GCAUUGGUAGUUCAGUGGUAGAAUUUGCACCUUCCAUGUGGGAGACCUGGGUUCAUCUCCUGGCCAAGGCA
rnacentral:tRNA from 1 species